rnacentral:rRNA from 1 species
GGGUUGUGAGGUUAAGCGACUAAGCGUACACGGUGGAUGCCCUGGCAGUCAGAGGCGAUGAAGGACGUGCUAAUCUGCGAUAAGCGUCGGUAAGGUGAUAUGAACCGUUAUAACCGGCGAUUUCCGAAUGGGGAAACCCAGUGUGAUUCGUCACACUAUCAUUAACUGAAUCCAUAGGUUAAUGAGGCGAACCGGGGGAACUGAAACAUCUAAGUACCCCGAGGAAAAGAAAUCAACCGAGAUUCCCCCAGUAGCGGCGAGCGAACGGGGAGCAGCCCAGAGCCUGAAUCAGUGUGUGUGUUAGUGGAAGCGUCUGGAAAGGCGUGCGAUACAGGGUGACAGCCCCGUACACAAAAAUGCACAUACUGUGAGCUCGAUGAGUAGGGCGGGACACGUGGUAUCCUGUCUGAAUAUGGGGGGACCAUCCUCCAAGGCUAAAUACUCCUGACUGACCGAUAGUGAACCAGUACCGUGAGGGAAAGGCGAAAAGAACCCCGGCGAGGGGAGUGAAAAAGAACCUGAAACCGUGUACGUACAAGCAGUGGGAGCACGCUUAGGCGUGUGACUGCGUACCUUUUGUAUAAUGGGUCAGCGACUUAUAUUCUGUAGCAAGGUUAACCGAAUAGGGGAGCCGAAGGGAAACCGAGUCUUAACUGGGCGUUAAGUUGCAGGGUAUAGACCCGAAACCCGGUGAUCUAGCCAUGGGCAGGUUGAAGGUUGGGUAACACUAACUGGAGGACCGAACCGACUAAUGUUGAAAAAUUAGCGGAUGACUUGUGGCUGGGGGUGAAAGGCCAAUCAAACCGGGAGAUAGCUGGUUCUCCCCGAAAGCUAUUUAGGUAGCGCCUCGUGAAUUCAUCUCCGGGGGUAGAGCACUGUUUCGGCAAGGGGGUCAUCCCGACUUACCAACCCGAUGCAAACUGCGAAUACCGGAGAAUGUUAUCACGGGAGACACACGGCGGGUGCUAACGUCCGUCGUGAAGAGGGAAACAACCCAGACCGCCAGCUAAGGUCCCAAAGUCAUGGUUAAGUGGGAAACGAUGUGGGAAGGCCCAGACAGCCAGGAUGUUGGCUUAGAAGCAGCCAUCAUUUAAAGAAAGCGUAAUAGCUCACUGGUCGAGUCGGCCUGCGCGGAAGAUGUAACGGGGCUAAACCAUGCACCGAAGCUGCGGCAGCGACGCUUAUGCGUUGUUGGGUAGGGGAGCGU